CCUACGUGUGGCAGCAGUGGGGAAUAUUGCACAAUGGGGGAAACCCUGAUGCAGCGACGCCGCGUGAGUGAAGAAGUAUUUCGGUACGUAAAGCUCUAUCAGCAGGGAAGAAAAACCGGCCUUAGGGCCGCCAGACGGUACCUGACUAAGAAGCCCCGGCUAACUACGUGCCACCAGCCGCGGUAAUACGUAGGGGGCAAGCGUUAUCCGGAUUUACUGGGUGUAAAGGGGGCGUAGACGGCGGCGCAAGUCUGGAGUGAAAUGCCGGGGCCCAACCCCGGAACGGCUUUGGAAACUGUGCAGCUUGAGUGCAGGAGAGGUAAGCGGAAUUCCUAGUGUAGCGGUGAAAUGCGUAGAUAUUAGGAGGAACACCAGUGGCGAAGGCGGCUUACUGGACUGUAACUGACGUUGAGGCUCGAAAGCGUGGGGAGCAAACAGGAUUAGAUACCCGGGUAGUC
rnacentral:rRNA from 1 species